rnacentral:rRNA from 1 species
CGGAGGUGCAAGCGUUAUCCGGAUUCACUGGGUUUAAAGGGUGUGUAGGCGGAUAUUUAAGUCAGUGGUGAAAUCUCCGGGCUCAACCCGGAAACUGCCAUUGAUACUAUUUAUCUUGAAUAUCGUUGAGGUUGGCGGAAUAUAUCAUGUAGCGGUGAAAUGCAUAGAUAUGAUAUAGAACACCGAUUGCGAAGGCAGCUAACUAAACGAUUAUUGACGCUGAGGCACGAAAGCGUGGGGAUCAAACAGGAUUAGAUACCCUGGUAGUCCACGCCCUAAACUAUGAUUACUCGACAUACGCGAUACACAGUGUGUGUCUGAGCGAAAGCAUUAAGUAAUCCACCUGGGAAGUACGUCCGCAAGGAUG